AUUGAACGCUGGCGGCAGGCAUAACACAUGCAAGUCGAGCGGUAGCACAGGGAGCUUGUUCCUGGGUGACGAGCGGCGGACGGGUGAUAAUGUCUGGGAAACUGCCUGAUGGAGGGGGAUAACUACUGGAAACGGUAGCUAAUACCGCAUAACGUCGCAAGACCAAAGAGGGGGACCUUCGGGCCUCUUGCCAUCAGAUGUGCCCAGAUGGGAUUAGCUAGUAGGUGGGGUAACGGCUCACCUAGGCGACGAUCCCUAGCUGGUCUGAGAGGAUGACCAGCCACACUGGAACUGAGACACGGUCCAGACUCCUACGGGAGGCAGCAGUGGGGAAUAUUGCACAAUGGGCGCAAGCCUGAUGCAGCCAUGCCGCGUGUAUGAAGAAGGCCUUCGGGUUGUAAAGUACUUUCAGCGGGGAGGAAGGUGCUGAGGUUAAUAACCUCAGCAAUGACGUUACCCGCAGAAGAAGCACCGGCUAACUCCGUGCCA
rnacentral:rRNA from 1 species